CACUGUCUCUAAAUAAAAUACAAAAUAGAGCUGUGGAUGUGACUCAGUGGCCAAGUGUCCCUGAGUUCUAUCCCCAGUACCCCCCAGCCCAAAUUUUAAAAUUAAAAGGGCUGGUAAUAUGGCUCAGUACUUGAAUGCCCUUGAUUUCAAUCCCUGGCACCAAAAACCAAAAAAUAAACAAAACAAAUAAAAGGGCCGGGGAUGUGGUUCAGUGGUAAUAUAACCCUGGGUUGAAUCCUCAGUGCCCCUCCCCCAAACACACACACACACACACACACACACACACGAAGUUAUGAAGGGAGUUCAAGGAAGUGAUAGAAUAGAACACAUGCACGCACACACAUAUUUUUCUCUGUACCACAGAUCAAACCCAGGGCCUCAUGCAUAGUAGGCAAGUGCUCUACUACUAAGCUACAUCUCUGAAACAUAUAUUUAAGUGGUGGAACAAUAUUCCCUUCUACCUUUUUAUCCUCCGUUCCUCUCAGGUCAUCACCAUUCUCUGCCUCAAGCAAAGGGUGAUACAGGUGGAAAGCUUUUGAAGUAUACAAACCUGGGCUCCUCUCCACGCCAGUACUGAGGGUCAAACCCUUUUGCAUGCUAGGCAAGCAUUCUACUACUGAGCUACCUUCCCAGCCCAAACCUGGGCUUUUGAUUUUCAAAAACUUAAGUCCAGAAGAUUCAUGGAAUAGAGUUCAUGCCAUGAACAUAUAUAGAAGGCUGGAUGAAGAGCCAGUCUACCUACUGUACUCUGGGCUAAUAGUGUCUAUGGGUUGGCAAGAGAAGGGUACACAUGAAUGUAUGUAUGGGUAUCCAGAGGCUGCCUGCUCCCUGUAGGCUAAAUGGCCAGCAGACCUGAAGAGGCUUGUAGCCAAGACCAGGAAGGUGCCAGCAUACCCAGCAAAUCACAGGCAAGAAGGACAGUGUCUCAGCACAUGUUGGUUUAAAUAAAUGGCAAUAAAUGGCCAGCAUCAUAUUUGCCUCUGAAACUGAGGAAAGGCAGGGUGAGCAUUUUACAUUCACUGUGAUCAUCUGUGCCAUCAGGUAAAAUGUAGGCUUAAAAUAUAAAUUAAGUGCAAUGACAUAAAAAUUAAUUUUUUAUACUGCUGAGUUAAGGCUUUAAAUCCAUAAAGAUAUAAAUAUGUUCCAAAUGCCUUAAGGAUCAGGAUGUUUUGAAUGUCAUGUCCUUUUUGUAUUAGAAAAACUGUAGGCUGCCUUCCUAACAUCAUGACUAGAAAAAAGAUGUCUUUAGGGCUGGGAAAUAACUCAGUGGUAGAGCACUUACCUAGCAUGUAUGAAGCCCUGGGUUUGAUCCCCAGCAUCUGGAGGGUGGAGGGCGGGGGAAAGAAAGAAAAAGAUGCCAUUGUCCAUAAGGCUGAGCACAAGGGGUAGAUGUUUUAACCGUACAUCUAUAGAAAUAGUACUUUGAUUUAUACCCAACAAAGUAUUUACUUCUAUUCACUAAAAGUCAUGCUCUAGAAUGUAGCAAUACUGUUUAUAAUGGAUAAAAUGUAGAAGCUAUGCUCACCAACAGAGGAAAGGAUAAACUGUAGAACAUUUCAAUAAUGGAAUGGCAUAUGGCAAAGAGCAGGAAUAGACCACAGCAUGGCCAUGAUUCAUAGACCUAAACCCAGUGGAAGAGGUCAUUCUCAAAAUCACCAAUGUAUUAUUCCAGUUGUAUGAAGUAUAAAAGCAAGCAAAAGUAAUCUCUCCAUCAGAAGUCAGGAUUACCUUAUGAGAGUGGCUAGUGACUGCAGACAAAUGGGAGGGGAGCUUCUGGAAAGCCAGUAACAGUCUGUGUCUUGAUUAUACGGGUGUGUUCACUUUGUGAAAAUCAAUUGAGUUAUGACAUAUGUGCCUUUAAAAAUACUGCGGCUAUUAUGCAUGCUUUCUUCCUUAUGCGAAUCAACUGCACAGUUUCCAGUUUUUCAUUUGUCAAAACCAGAAAGAUAUGUCAGAAAUGAAAGGUAGGCUCUGAAAAUGUGAUUAGAAUUAAAAUGUCUUGCUCUUCAUUGUAGUGAUAAUUUCCUUUUACUUAAAAGAUAAUAGAGUGGUCAAAACAUUAGAGCAAUUUUGGAAAUAUUCCAUAAUUUGGAAGAAAAUUACAUUUCAAAAUACCCAAUGGUUAAGAUGAUUUCCACGUAUAGAUGCUAAAUAGUCUAGACUUGCUUUAUGAAGAUGGGCUUCCUCGAACACUGCCAUGUUAGAUUUCAGCAUUCCGUGCAGCAGUGAAAACUUCACACUUUAAAUCUGGCUGGAGUGGAGAUAGAGACUGACAUGUUAGAUUUAGUACAACUGUAGAAUUAAUGCUAAAAACUCCCAUGCUGCACAGUUUUCCCAUAUGCUACAUAAAAAUGCUAUAUAGUUUCUCACUCAAAAGCUGCUAUAUUAGGGUGCUAGCUGAUUUUAUGCCUUCAACUUGCUUAAUGUUUUCAUUUAUAUACAAUAGAGUUUUACACCACAUCAGUCAAACAAUCUAUUGCAAAAUAAUUUACAGUGAAAUCAUAAUAAAUUUAUACAAAGUAUUGAUUUAGCAUUAAUUUUCAAACCAAAAGCCAAUGAACCAUAAAUCUGUAAAUAAAUUGGUGAAGCAAAAGACAUAAAUGACAAAAAAAUUAGUCUCUGUGUUGUGUGUGUGCUUUUUAGAUAGCUAUAUGGGGAAAAUAUAUGGGAAGAGGCCUCAUAAAAUUUUAAAUUAGUGACAUAAAAAUAACAUAAUGCACAAAGAAAUAGACUUGUCUCAACAAAAUUGUGAAGAAAACCACCCAGAAUCUGGUUCAUAAUUUUGACGUACUGGCAUCACAAUUCAGUUGAAUGAUACCCUGCAAAGGAAAGAAUCUUCACACUCUUAUGCUUCCAAAAAAUUUUGGAGGCAAAUCUAUAGCACAAUCUAUUUAAUUCUUGGAAUAUCAUGUUUCUGUUUGUGUGCAUAUGUUUGAAUAUCUUUACUAUUUUAAAAGCCCACAUGGAAGACAUCACCUUGGCAAUGUAGUCUAAGCCCCCAGUGGGCAUAUGAAUCCCCUGUACUUCAGGCUUUAUAAGCAAUUAAUUGCCCAGCCUGUUUGAUCACCUGCAGCGAUGGGGACUCACUACCUUCCAAUACACCAUGGUCUGUUUUAUUCUAGCCUUGACUGAUUAGAGAUUAUAGCAGUGCUUGUUGUUGAGUCUCCAUCUUGGUCAGAGAAAAACUUUCCUCUAAAAAUAUAUUUACUAGAUUAUUUUCAGCCUAAUUUCAGUGGUACCCAAUGGACACAAGAGAUACCAGAGGGCUGGGGUUUUGGCUCAGUGGUAUAGUGUUUGCCUAGCAUGUGUGAGGCACUGGAUUCGAUUCUCAGCACCACAUAUAAAUAAAUAAAUAAAAUAAAGGUCCAUUGACAACUAAAAAAUAUUUUUAAAAAAAAAGAUACCAGAGAGGAGAGAGGCUAAGUUAGUAAAGAUGCCAGCACCAUUGCUUGGAAAAAACAAGUCCUUCAUUUUGACACUUUUAAUUGAUAGUUGCUGUCUUCGUUAAGUAUCAUUAGUGUAAAAAGAAAAUCAGUUUUUCUUCUGGGAAGUUAUGUCACAAGGCUGUACAUUUCACCAAGUAUCCUAUGAUAUAAUUGAUAUGGCUGCUAAUGAGUCCAAGGCCAUGGGAAUGGGAUGGAUUAGACCUAUUUAUGUGCUAUAGUUCUAGGACCGGGAUUAGCAUCCUAUCAGAUAGUGCUGUGAGAGGCUGAGCUAGGUAUCACAAAGGAAAACUAGGACUGUAACCAGGUCUACUGUGAAUGUUGUAUAGAUUGCAUGGCUCAUCUCCAAAGGUCACAAAUCACCUUGCAAUGUAUCUAGCAUCCUUUAUGUACUUUACAACUUGUGCAAAUGUAUACAGUGACACUAGUUGUGACUUGGAGAAGGAAUAAUAAGGGCUUGAGAGGCAAAAUACAAGUGUUCCCUAUUCUAAUUACCCAAAAGUCUUAAGAGAGUUCUUAUGAUCCUUAAUCCUUUUUAUUUCUCUGCUGUAUAUUUCUUGUCUCUGUAACAGUAGUUUUCAACUCUUUUUUCCCCCUUGCUACGGCACAUAACAAUUUUCAUAUAAAUUUGUACUUAGGAUACAUGCAAUCAUGAAGUGUGUUCAGGAACUCUACCCCUUUAUCACUCAUUUAAGAAAGCACAUCUUUGGACUUCUGAUUAUCAUGGGCCUGCUGGGGAGUACAGUGGUCAUGGUGAAGGGUGAGUCCCCCACUUCCCCAUAGCAAGACAAGUAAAGUGGAAGAUGCUUAGAGGAUCACUUGUAGACUGUGUUACGGAGGGGCCUGCAAGAAAGAGUGAUUGGCAUUUCAGUAUCCUAAAUAAUGAUAUUUAUUUAGUAUUAAUAAGCUUAAGCAGCACAUCUGACCUACUGCCUGUACCUGUCUACACAAGAGAAGAGCUAAUGGGAGAGAGAUGUCUAGGCAGAGACAGGCUGUGGUGGAGAAUCCUGCAUUGCCCUGUAUCAGGACAAGUGUGCAAGCAUUUCCCAAGGGUUGUAGGGAGACAGCCUGCAGAAAGCAGCUAUUUAUUCAAGAGAGCCACCCCCUGACUAAAGAUUCCCUGAUACCAAGAGUCUGUGGGAUCCAUUAGUGCUGUGGGAGAUGGGGGCAGAUAUGAAAGAAGUAAAACCAAAACCAGACUUCCCAAAACUGGGAAAGGAGUUAUGACAGCCCUACCAGGCCCUCCAAAGAAACCACACAGUAGUCUCAGGAGAGAAAGGGCAAUUGGGCACCUUCCACACAGAAGAUACCUAUGGUGGUCAUGCUGGUGAGCUGCCCAGAUCACUAUUUAUAAAAGAACUCCUUAGCUGUGGGGAGUACAGUGAGCUGUGACAAGCCUUCUUGUACAGCUCCUCAGAAUGCUUUUCUUGGGUAGUCCUCAGUCAGUGACAGAACACAGCAGGACACGAUGGCCUGGCAUCUCAGCCCCAGGCAAGAUUUCUGUAAUGUGCAGUCUUUGCUCCACAGCUGCCCAUGGGUUGGCUAAGACAUUGUCAGAUCUGCAUCAUAUACUGAGGUUCUCCCUGCUACAUUUUUAUUCUCUCAUCCUUUAUUGUUUGCAAGUAUUAUGCCUAAGCAAACUUCUUGACUCUUUUUUUUUAAUAUUUAUUCUUUAGUUACAGGUGGACACAAUUUCUUUAUUUUACAUUUAUGUGGUGCUGAGGAUCGAACCCAGUACCCCAUGCAUGCUAGGCGACCAGUACCUCACGCAUGCUAGGCGAGCGCCCUACCUCUGAGCCACAACUCCAGUGCCCUUGACUCUUAACUCCAUCUCAGCAUCUGCUUCUUGGAGGACUUGAAUUGGCAGAACAUCCUUGGCCAGGAAAUACAGAAUGAAGGGUUGAAGAGAUGUAAAGGGGCAUGCAUCAUCAUAUAUCAAGGGUCUUGCCAAGUUGCUGAGGCUGACCUUGAACUUGCAAUCCUCCUGUCUCAGCUUCCUGAACUGCUGGAAUUACAGCAUGCACCAUCAAGCUGACUAAGAGUUCUGAUUUUAACUCCUCUCAUGCAUAGGAGAAAAAGCUAGAUAUAGAUUAUUAAUUUUAUAUUUGGUUAUACAAGAGCAACCUAAGUAUUUUAUAUGUAAUAUAUUGUUUCAAUGUAAUAUAUGCUUUUAAAUGAAGGAAAGUACUGGAUUACUAAGAAGUAUGAAAUUUAUGAUUCUUUUUAUAUCAGACUUUUUAUAGAGAAAUAUACUAUGAAGGUUGCCUAGAACCUGAUUCCACAAAAUCUAGGUUAUAGAAUUGCUAUCUGUAAAUCAACACUUUGAUCUUUAUGUGAAUGCAUUCCACCAUAAGCCUUGUAAUAAAUUUAAAACUAUGCAGGUUUUAUAUUCUUUUCAAUAGAACUAUAAAAUCCUAGUGCAGAUGUCAUCAACUCAGCCUCAUGCCUCUAGGCAAAAACCAUAAUUAAGUCAUCCUAGACAGGUAAUUGUCCAUCCCAGUGAGAGUCUAUAACAUGUUCAGUAAUCCUUUUCUAUAAUGAUCCUUCACCAGAAACUUUUUUUUACUAUGUCUAAUUCUACUGUUUUCUUUCAGUUUAAUCCCAUUUCAUUUGACUUUCUGCUACAUACAGGAAUUUAUCCCACUGUGGAAGCUUAUGCAAUAAAUGUCCUUAUGUCAUCA